GAUGAACGCUGGCGGCGUGCCUAAUACAUGCAAGUCGAGCGAACGGACGAGAAGCUUGCUUCUCUGAUGUUAGCGGCGGACGGGUGAGUAACACGUGGAUAACCUACCUAUAAGACUGGGAUAACUUCGGGAAACCGGAGCUAAUACCGGAUGAUAUUUUGAACCGCAUGGUUCAAAAGUGAAAGACGGUCUUGCUGUCACUUAUAGAUGUAUCCGCGCUGCAUUAGCUAGUUGGUAAGGUAACGGCUUACCAAGGCAACGAUGCAUAGCCGACCUGAGAGGGUGAUCGGCCACACUGGAACUUAGACCCGGUCCAGACUCCUACGGGAGGCAGCAGUAGGGAAUCUUCCGCAAAGGGCGAAAGCCUGACGGAGCAACGCCGCGUGAGUGAUGAAGGUCUUCGGAUCUUAAAACUCUGUUAUUAGGGAAGAACAUAUGUGUAAGUAACUGUGCACAUCUUGACGGUACCUAAUCAGAAAGCCACGGCUAACUACGUG
rnacentral:rRNA from 1 species